rfam:Ciona savignyi cont_26118, whole genome shotgun sequence.
UCCCAGGUGGUCUAGUGGUUAGGAUUGGUGGCUCUCACCCACGCUGCCCAGGUUCGAUUCCCGGUCUGGGAA